GCGAUCUCUAUCAGUAGCUCUCAUCGGAGCUUUAGGGAAGCUCUUUGUUUUUUGAAAUGAUGCUUUUAUGAGAUACAGGUUUUUUACAUAAGGCUUUUUUAUAUAAUGCUGGGGAAGGUUUUCCGGUUUAUCUCGGAGGGCUUGUACCUCAGUUGGUUGCAGCGCGCGCUUGAUAAGCGUGAGGUCGGAGGUUCAAGUCCUCCCAGGCCCACCAGUUUACCUAUCCAUUUGCCUUUAUCCGUUUAUUUGCCGAUUUAUCGGUCCAUUGAAUUUAAGUGUUGGUAGCGGUUUUCUUAAUGAAGAAAAAUCAGGCUCAAAAAAAACCCCCUUACAAAAGGAUUGUUUUAAAAAUGUGACGCUUUUCCUUUCCCCUCAUCCAAAAGAAACUUACAGGGGUUCCAAUGCGGAAGGCUUAAGAUUUUGCAGAAUUUUUUAAUUUUUUAAAUGAUCCAAUAUUGUGACCCCCUUUUUAAAAAUUUUAAAGGCUUUAUCCUUUUUGAGGGGCUGUUUCUCAGCUGGAAGAUUACCUGCUUUGCAGACAUGAGGCGUUCUGUUCAUGUUUUAUGGGCCGUACAUCAGCUGGGAGAGCACCUGCUUUGCAAGCAGGGGGUCGUCCGGUUCUAAAACCUGGGGAAAGCACCUGCUUUGCAAACACGGGGGUCGUCAGUUUCAGAA
rnacentral:misc_RNA from 1 species